UGGGGAAUAUUGCACAAUGGGCGCAAGCCUGAUGCAGCCAUGCCGCGUGUGUGAAGAAGGCCUUCGGGUUGUAAAGCACUUUCAGCGGGGAGGAAGGCGUUAAGGUUAAUAACCUUGGCGAUUGACGUUACCCGCAGAAGAAGCACCGGCUAACUCCGUGCCAGCAGCCGCGGUAAUACGGAGGGUGCAAGCGUUAAUCGGAAUUACUGGGCGUAAAGCGCACGCAGGCGGUCUGUCAAUUCGGAUGUGAAAUCCCCGGGCUCAACCUGGGAACUGCAUUCGAAACUGGCAGGCUAGAGUCUUGUAGAGGGGGGUAGAAUUCCAGGUGUAGCGGUGAAAUGCGUAGAGAUCUGGAGGAAUACCGGUGGCGAAGGCGGCCCCCUGGACAAAGACUGACGCUCAGGUGCGAAAGCGUGGGGAGCAAACAGG
rnacentral:rRNA from 1 species